CCCCGCCGCUAAACCGGCGGGAUCCGGUCGAACCGGAAGGUGGGCGUCCUGAUUGAGUCAAUAAUUGUGCCUGUGACCUGCGCCUGUAAAGGACAAAAGAAAAGGGGAAAAAGCGCUGCGGAGCGAAAGAGAAAAGGAAACAAAGUCAAGGAGAAAAAAGUGAGGCAUCGACGAGUGCGUUGAUAGUACCAGAGGAUGCCUUUUCUCCAUUCUCAUUUUACUCAUCAACCUCCGUUUUUUCUUAUAAGAAUUAACCUUUUUUAUAUUUAUUAUAUUAAAAUUGACAAGCGUGGGAGUAUGGGUGCAGUUGAGGUUUGGCGGAUGCAAUAUGCAGACUUUUCCAUACGGCCCGGCCCAUUUUGUGAGCCCAUAAUAAUAGACAUCGCGGACACCCUCAAGUUCCUCCCUCCAGGUCCUCCGAUGUCCGCCGCCUCGCUGUUGCCUAUCGCGCGACGACGAAUCUCAGCUUCCUCUACCCUCCGCCGCGGCACGCCGCUCUGCUCAGUCCUCAGGGGAGGUUCUUAUACGAUCUCUUCCUUUACCGCCCCUUUCGGGCGAGGGAGAAGCUCAAUCCAUUGGGCUUGGGCCCUGGAUCAGAAGAUUCUGAGGAGACAUACACUUCGCCAGCCGAAGCUGAUGCUGCCGUCGUGGAUGGGUUUCUCGAUCGCUUCAACAAGUAUCUAACUCUUCAAACCGACUAAUCCAAGAGAUGAUCGGCCAGGCUCAAUGGAAGUUUCCACUGGUUACUAGGGUAAAUCGGGAAGUGCUCAUGGAGGCCUAUCCAAGUGACUAAUAUUUUCAAGUUUGUCAUCCCACUAGAAGAAAUUGCUAUUAUUAAAAGGUAAAGUAGUUGACAAGAAAUGCAAAUAAAGUAAGAAUACGUUGCAAUUUUGAGUUUACCAUUAGAGAACAAAUAUCACAUUUGUUAUUUAGCGACACGAUCAAGAUAGUAGUGUUAAAUUAAAUAUUCAUCGGAAAAGAACUUGUUUCAAGUAUUUAUUAGAGGUAGAUACAGUGAUUUCAACUUAAAUAUGACUAGAGUUUGUUUUUUUUUUUUAACAUUUUGCUUAGUCAAUUAAUCAUACACAAUAACAGCAGGAUGUGAAAAACAAUUACAUUAAAUCCAAGGUCACAUAAUUGUCCUAUAAAAAUUGAAUUCAUAGAGAAUUUAGGAACAAGAUAAGUAUCAUUAAUUGAUAAUUGUCGAGUUUUAAGUGAAUCAAUAUGCAGGAUAGCAUAAGAGUAUCGUCAACAUUUUGAAUAGGGUCGAUAUCAAUUUAAGAUAAUUUAAAUGAAAAAUAGGAUAGAUUUGCUUAGUCAAUUAAUCAUACACAAUAAGAGCAGGAUGUGAAAAAAAAUCACAUCAAAUCCAAGGUCACAUAAUUGUCCUAUAAAAAUUGAAUUCAUAGAGAAUUUAGGAACAAGAUAAGUAUCAUUAAUUGAUAAUUAUGGAGUUUUAAGUGAAUCAAUAUGCAGGAUAGCAUAAGAGUAUCAUCAAAAUUUUGAAUAGGGUUGAGAUCAAUUAAAGAUAAUUUGAGUGAAAAAUAGGAUAGAUUGGAUGCCAUAUGAUUUAGGAAUGGGAAAAAUAUCAAAAAUUUUGAUAUAUCGCACAUACCGUAUCGAAAUAUACUGAAUUAUAUCGAAAAUUCGGUAUUUCAAAAAUUUCAAUACGAUAUUAUCCUAUACCAAAAAUUUUCGGUACAGUCUUGGUAUGCAAUAUUAUUCGAUAUGUAGGGAUGUAAACGAGCUGAACCAAGCCGAACAGUAUUAAGCUCGAGCUUGGCUCGUUUAAGUUAUAUUCGGGCUCGAGCUUGGCUCGAGCUCGAAUCGAACUUUUAUCACAACGCUCAAGCUCGGCUCGUUUUGGAAUUACUAAGCUUGUGAACAGUUCGAGCUUGGCUCGUUAUUAGCUCGAUUAUCAUAGUUAAUGAGCCUAACUCGUUAAGCAAGCUCAAGCUUGUUUUCGGGCUCGUUUUAGAGUUCGUUUUUGGGCUCAUUUUAAGGCUCGUUUUGCUGGCUUGUUAAGCGAGCUCGAAAACUCAUUUGAAUAAAUAUUCAACAAACCUAACAACUAAAAUAAUAUAAACUCAACACAUCAUUGAACAUCCCAAACUAUUACAUUAAACUUCCAAACUCAACACACCAUUGAACAUGUUCGCGAGCCCUUUAAUCGAGCCCAGCUCGAGCCCGAGUUUAGGAGCUUAUAAACGAACAUGUUCUCGAGCCCUUUAAACGAGCCAAACUUGAGUCCGAGUUUACGAGCCUAUAAACGAACAUGUUCUCGAGCCUUUUAAACGAGCCGAGCUCGAGCCCUUUAAACGAGCCGAGCUCGAGCCCUUUAAACGAGUCAAGCAUAAGCCUAAGCUCGCGAGCCUAUAAACGAACAUGUUCGUGAGCUCACGAGCCGAAUAUCCUUAAGCUCGAGCUCGGCUCGAUAAGUUAAACGAACAAACUCGAAAGAGAUUUUUACCGAAUCGAGCUCCGAAUAACUCGCGAACCGUUUGGUUCAUUUACAUCCCUAUCGGUAUGCAAUAUUUCAGUAUUCGAUUUUGAUAUACUAUGCGGAUAUAGGAAUUUGAGUGUAAACAAUAUUGAAUUUAUACCAUACCAAAAAUUGGUAUAUUGAAGUUUUGAUAUACUAAAAUUUCGGUAUGGUAUCGGUAUGAUUUUUCUAUAUACUAAAGUUUUUGAUGCGGUAUACGAUAUUAAUAUACGUUAUGGGUAUGCUUUUUCUGUAUACCGAAGUUUUUGAUAUAAGAUUCGGUACCGAUAUACCAUACUGAACUCACUCUAAUGUUAUUGCAACAAAUAGAGUCAAGGUUCAGAGAUUUCUUGUUUUUUUGCUAACUCUGUAAAUAAUUUGUCCUUUCCUACUAUAAUAUUUACAUAAUGUUGAUAAGGUUGACAGAAUGAAAGUCCGAUCAAAAUGCUUUGAAUAUUUUUGAACAAUCUCUUUAAAAAGAUGAAGACUAAAGAGCCACAGUUGAAAAGAGAAAAUGGUAGAAAAAUAUAUUUAUAUAUAAUCUAAAUUUAUUUCUUUAUAAUGAAAUGGUUGGCCCUUUAAUAGAAAAUGACAAAACUUAGGCUGACAAUCUAAGGUAAUGAUUUACUCUCCAUUGUGAUUUGGAUGACGAGACGUCGGUAGAGGAGGUGAAGAUGGUGAAGGUCAUGAAUGACUGAUUGGAUCGAGCAACGUGGUCUCACCAAUGAUAGUAUCUCAUAACACUAAAAGGACAUAUAGUAGUAGAGUAGAAAAAACUCAAGAGGGAUCAUCCUUGGCUUGAGGAAAAAGAAAUCAAGUAAGCUCUGAUACCAUGUUAGAGUAUUGUUGGGUUGUUUUUGUAAAUAAGAAAUUGGAUAUUAAGAUUGGAGUGUAUAUGCACAGCAAAAUGGAGAUGAAAAAGAGCCUAUGUCAAAUUUGAAAAUAGUUUCCCUAUUUCCGCCAUGUUGACAAAUAAUUUCAUAAUGAGAGAUAGGAGAUAGUUUACUUAUAAUAAUACUAAGUUGAGAAAAAAUAGAUAAUUUUCUCUUUAAGAAAACAUUAAAUUUCAUUAAAUUAGUCUCAUAAUUGCUAAUUAAUUAAAAAUUAACUAAAAAUAGAAACAUUUUAAUUAUAAUACUCUAAAAAUUUCCUCAAUAAGGUUAUAACA